CUGAAGUCUACUGGUGUGGAUUACACGUCGAACUGACAUCCUUGACCUACACCAGCCUUUACCGGAUAAUGCAGCUUGAUGUUACAGCUCCCCCAUCUUCAACCAGUUCAUCAUCUAGGACAACAUUCAGCUCAGUCUCUAAGGAAGCAACUGCCCCAUCUACAGCAACAUCUAACAAUCAUGGUUCUUCUGUGGUGCUCCCUGUCUUCCUGGCCCUGGUGGUAGCGGUGCUGUUUGGAAUCACUCUCUUCAUUGGUGUAAAGUACAGAAAGAACAGGGGCAGAG